rnacentral:rRNA from 1 species
CCUACGGGAGGCAGCAGUGAGGAAUAUUGGUCAAUGGGCGCGAGCCUGAACCAGCCAAGUAGCGUGAAGGAUGACUGCCCUACGGGUUGUAAACUUCUUUUAUAAAGGAAUAAAGUGAGGCACGUGUGCCUUUUUGUAUGUACUUUAUGAAUAAGGAUCGGCUAACUCCGUGCCAGCAGCCGCGGUAAUACGGCGGAUCCGAGCGUUAUCCGGAUUUAUUGGGGUUAAGGGGAGCGUAGGCGGCCUUUUAAGUCAGCGGUGAAAGUCUGGGGCUCAACCAUAGAAUUGCCGUUGAAACUGGGAGGCUUGAGUACAGUUGAGGUAGGCGGAAUUCGUGGUGUAGCGGUGAAAUGCUUAGAUAUCACGAAGAACUCCGAUUGCGAAGGCAGCUUACUAAACUGCCACUGACAUUGAUGCUCGAAAGUGUGGGUAUCAAACAGGAUUAGAUACCCGGGUAGUC